ncrna:unclassified sequences L4-Archaeoglobi ribosomal protein leader
CUGACGGCCGCGUCCGGGUCAAUUGCGGACUGCAACACCCGAUCUCCCUCCUCCUCCCCGACGGGAUGGAGGUGUCCGAAGGAGAGCGCGUCGCCAUCAG